UCCCAAGUGGUCUAGUGGUUAUGAUUCGUGGCUCUCACCCCCGCGACCUGAGUUCGAUUCCCGGGUUGGAAA
rnacentral:tRNA from 1 species